rnacentral:rRNA from 1 species
AUUGAACGCUGGCGGCAUGCCUUACACAUGCAAGUCGAACGGUAACAGGUCUUCGGAUGCUGACGAGUGGCGAACGGGUGAGUAAUACAUCGGAACGUGCCUAGUAGUGGGGGAUAACUACUCGAAAGAGUGGCUAAUACCGCAUGAGAUCUACGGAUGAAAGCAGGGGAUCGCAAGACCUUGUGCUACUAGAGCGGCCGAUGGCAGAUUAGGUAGUUGGUGGGAUAAAAGCUUACCAAGCCGACGAUCUGUAGCUGGUCUGAGAGGACGAUCAGCCAAACUGGAACUGAGACACGGCCCAGACGCCUACGGGAGGCAGCAGUGGGGAAUUUUGGACAAUGGGCGCAAGCCUGAUCCAGCAAUGCCGCGUGCAGGAUGAAGGCCUUCGGGUUGUAAACUGCUUUUGUACGGAACGAAAAGCCCUGGGUUAAUACCCUGGGGUCAUGACGGUACCGUAAGAAUAAGCACCGGCUAACUACGUGCCAGCCGCCGCCGUAACAC